UAAAAAAAAAUCACUUAACCCACUGUUGUGUCGGGUCUCUACUGCAGCAGCUGAACCUGUACGUAACCUGAUAACGGAGGGAGUCCAUGUAUCUGUUAUCUUUUGCCACAACAGUGCUAACUAAUAAACCAUCCUCAAAACUCAGGAGGCUGGGAAACCGAUUCUCACAGGUUGGCCGUUACCGCUGUACUUUAAUGCCCUGCUGGCUGGAUCGGCGCGGCUUCUCACUGCUGGUCUUGUCUCCCUGUGUUGCUGCCGGGACCCAGCCUGAAGAGGCAGCGGCUACCCAAGAGAAGCGUAAGAGAGCAAGCACUCUUGCUCUCUUCGAGCCUAAGCACGGAGCCUCUUCGAGCCUCUUCGAGCCUCUUCGAGCCUAAGCACGGAACCAGCCCCAAGCCCCAAGCCAGGGGAUGGGAAAGUACACUGUGGCCACGAGGAGACACAGCAGGAGCGGGGAUGCGGGGAGGGCCCAUAAUUCUCUCUCCCAGAAUGUGACAGAGUCCUGGGUUAGAGGCUACGACACGGUGGCCCUGCUCUUCUAGGCGUCACCUACGAAUGGCGCGGAGUGAAAGAUAGCGUCCGUCCAUGUGAAGACUCAACCGCAGUUCUCUAUUAGGUCAGGAGCCCUGACAAGACAAGAAUCACAUCUCCUUCCUCUUCCCAACGCCUAGUGCCAGACCCUGCCCUCAGGGCUGACUCGGGGAUAUUACUGGGUGAAUCUGAGACCAUUUCUUCACUCUCUGCGUAGGAUUCCUUAUGUAAUACAGACUGACCUCCUAAAGGUCAGCACACAGUGCUAUGUGUUUGCCCCCAAAGCUGCAAAGGGACCGUGCCAUUGGGAACUGAGAUGUGUACCUAGGUCUGUCUACACCGCAUCCUGGAUCCACUGCCUCCCAGAGGGACCUCCAGAAGAAAGGACUUCUACAAGUUAAAUAUCGCAGACUUCACAGUCCAAAGGAGAACCGCUUGAAGAGAGCCAUGGUCGACGCUAAGGAAUGCCACCAUCACCACAGAAUUCCAGGCACCGGGCAUGUGGGUAGAAAGUAUAUUUUAGGGCAGUGACUCAUGGUAAGUCGUUUCCUCCAGACCCUAAAACGGACUAUUCAAUGUCAAGCUGUCUCAGGCUCAGGCUGAUAACAGGGCAGCCAUAGGGGACCUAAUGGGAGCUGCGUUGUCACGGUCCAAGUCUGUACACACCGCUUGUAUAACCUGCCCAAGUUCGCAAAGACAAUAUAUCAGUCGCCGCUCUUUAUGCUCCAAGUGAAAGAAAUCCAACUAACAUAUGCUUAAACCAAAAAUGUCAUACAGUGUAUCGGCUCACAUAACCCGGAAGCCUAAGAUCUUAAAGCUGGCCGCAUCUAGCGCUCAAACGUCAUUCUCUCCCCAACUGUCCCUCAGUUGUGCUUUCCUCCAUGAUGGCUUCAGGCUUCAGGAUGCAUGCCCCAAGACUGCAAAGAUAGUCGUUAGUAACUCCAACUCUCCACUGAGGUUGAGCAAGCCUCAUAAAGGAAAGCCAGUCUUCAAAAAGCCUCUGAUUGGUCUGCUCGGACCCUGUAUCUGGUAGGAGGAGACCCUGAUUGGCCAGCCAUGGCCACGUGCACCUGCAAGACUACCUGGUGGACUCGUGGCCCAUGAAUGGUGGAAACGUGCGCCAGAGUAAGAUGGAGAGAGGAAGACAAGCCCGUAGACUUUGCAGAGGGGCCGAGAGGCCUGAGAAGUAAGAGAAGACCAGGAGACGGGGGCUCCUGAAAAGAUCGACAAGAGAUUACCAUGCGGGGUUCCCACAGCUUUUGCAGACAGCAGCUGCGCAAAAAUUCAUUGGAAGAACUGAGGAAUGUUGCUGGCUCCAUCUGGGGGAGGGCAUGCUUGUAUCAAGACACUGAUGCUCUUGAUGUGCUAUAAUUAUAACCAGAAACACUAUCCUUUUGCCCAAGAAGCUGGAUUUCCUAGUAAAUUCCUUACUUUCCAAGUUGUUUAAUGCUAA